rnacentral:rRNA from 1 species
UUCGUAGGCGGUGUGGCAAGUUGGGAGUGAAAUCUCUGGGCUUAACUCAGAGGCUGCUUUCAAAACUGCCGUGCUUGAGUGUGGGAGAGGCGCGUGGAAUUGCAGGUGUAGCGGUGAAAUGCGUAGAUAUCUGCAGGAACACCCGUGGCGAAAGCGGCGCGCUGGACCACAACUGACGCUGAGGAACGAAAGCUAGGGGAGCAAACAGGAUUAGAUACCCUGGUAGUCCUAGCCCUAAACGAUCAGGACUUGGGGUGCCACCCGUUCGGGUGUCGUCCCGGAGCUAACGCGUUAAGUCCUGCACCUGGGGAGUACGGUCGCAAGACUGAA